GAAGCGUAUAUUCUGUCUAACGAUUCCUUUUGUUAUUCAAUUGGAUGUAUAGUGACGAUUAUGAUAUUAACCACAUAAAAGUGAGAUACAUUUUUCAGUAAAAUAUCUUUGUUGUAAUAUGGAUAAUAACGGAAAGGGAAAAAGUUGUUUCUUCUUUUUUUGUACAUGUAACUCAAUGAAGACUCAUUGGUGUUGAACUAGCUCUGUAUUUUUAGCUGUUUUUAUAUGUUUGUACAUUAAUUCCUAUUUAAAAUAGGGGAGACCGCUGUCACAAGGAUGGUUAGAACAUACAAGCGAAAGACCCAUCGAGUUACUCCACCUUUGGAUGUUUUCUUGAGAGCAGCAGAAGCUGUAAAAAAUAAGGAACAUAUUAUUAUAAUAUCUAUUAGGAAAGCUGCACGAGAUUUUGGUAGACAUUAUCGGAGUUUAGCGAGAUUUAUCAGAAGAACGCCAGAGACCAAUAUAACACUCCAAAUGGGAUACAAAAAAUCUCAACUCGUGUGCUGUGAGGCGGAAGAAAUCGAACUAGAACAAUAUUUGAAAAAAGCUUCUGAUAUAUACUUAGGUUUAACACAUAUUGAAGUAAGAAAUUCUUCUUACUUCUUAAGUUUGUAGUGCUUUUAAUGAAAGUUAGAUCCAAUUUACAGCAUGCAAACAAUGGACACAUACAGACUGCACCAAUGGAAACCAAUUUUAUGUGUGCCACAAUUGUGACUCGGAGGACGAUAUGUAGUUCUUUCUAAGUUUGUGAGUUUUUAUUUGAAUAAAAACGUUUUAUUUCU
rnacentral:lncRNA from 1 species